rnacentral:rRNA from 1 species
UGCAGUCGAGCGGAACGAGUUAUCUGAACCUUCGGGGGACGAUAACGGCGUCGAGCGGCGGACGGGUGAGUAAUGCCUAGGAAAUUGCCCUGAUGUGGGGGAUAACCAUUGGAAACGAUGGCUAAUACCGCAUAAUGCCUACGGGCCAAAGAGGGGGACCUUCGGGCCUCUCGCGUCAGGAUAUGCCUAGGUGGGAUUAGCUAGUUGGUGAGGUAAUGGCUCACCAAGGCGACGAUCCCUAGCUGGUCUGAGAGGAUGAUCAGCCACACUGGAACUGAGACACGGUCCAGACUCCUACGGGAGGCAGCAGUGGGGAAUAUUGCACAAUGGGCGCAAGCCUGAUGCAGCCAUGCCGCGUGUGUGAAGAAGGCCUUCGGGUUGUAAAGCACUUUCAGUCGUGAGGAAGGUAGUGUAGUUAAUAGCUGCAUUAUUUGACGUUAGCGACAGAAGAAGCACCGGCUAACUCCGUGCCAGCAGCCGCGGUAAUACGGAGGGUGCGAGCGUUAAUCGGAAUUACUGGGCGUAAAGCGCAUGCAGGUGGUUUGUUAAGUCAGAUGUGAAAGCCCGGGGCUCAACCUCGGAAUUGCAUUUGAAACUGGCAGACUAGAGUACUGU